rnacentral:rRNA from 1 species
AAUACUCCUGACUGACCGAUAGUGAACCAGUACCGUGAGGGAAAGGCGAAAAGAACCCCGGCGAGGGGAGUGAAAAAGAACCUGAAACCGUGUACGUACAAGCAGUGGGAGCACAGAGCAAUCUGUGUGACUGCGUACCUUUUGUAUAAUGGGUCAGCGACUUAUAUUCUGUAGCAAGGUUAACCGAAUAGGGGAGCCGAAGGGAAACCGAGUCUUAACUGGGCGUUAAGUUGCAGGGUAUAGACCCGAAACCCGGUGAUCUAGCCAUGGGCAGGUUGAAGGUUGGGUAACACUAACUGGAGGACCGAACCGACUAAUGUUGAAAAAUUAGCGGAUGACUUGUGGCUGGGGGUGAAAGGCCAAUCAAACCGGGAGAUAGCUGGUUCUCCCCGAAAGCUAUUUAGGUAGCGCCUCGUGAAUUCAUCUCCGGGGGUAGAGCACUGUUUCGGCAAGGGGGUCAUCCCGACUUACCAACCCGAUGCAAACUGCGAAUACCGGAGAAUGUUAUCACGGGAGACACACGGCGGGUGCUAACGUCCGUCGUGAAGAGGGAAACAACCCAGACCGCCAGCUAAGGUCCCAAAGUCAUGGUUAAGUGGGAAACGAUGUGGGAAGGCCCAGACAGCCAGGAUGUUGGCUUAGAAGCAGCCAUCAUUUAAAGAAAGCGUAAUAGCUCACUGGUCGAGUCGGCCUGCGCGGAAGAUGUAACGGGGCUAAACCAUGCACCGAAGCUGCGGCAGCGACGCUGAUGCGUUGUUGGGUAGGGGAGCGUUCUGUAAGCCUGUGAAGGUGUGCUGUGAGGCAUGCUGGAGGUAUCAGAAGUGCGAAUGCUGACAUAAGUAACGAUAAAGCGGGUGAAAAGCCCGCUCGCCGGAAGACCAAGGGUUCCUGUCCAACGUUAAUCGGGGCAGGGUGAGUCGACCCCUAAGGCGAGGCCGAAAGGCGUAGUCGAUGGGAAACAGGUUAAUAUUCCUGUACUUGGUGUUACUGCGAAGGGGGGACGGAGAAGGCUAUGUUGGCCGGGCGACGGUUGUCCCGGUUUAAGCGUGUAGGCUGGUUUUCCAGGCAAAUCCGGAAAACUAAGGCUGAGGCGUGAUGACGAGGCACUACGGUGCUGAAGCAACAAAUGCCCUGCUUCCAGGAAAAGCCUCUAAGCAUCAGGUAACAUCAAAUCGUACCCCAAACCGACACAGGUGGUCAGGUAGAGAAUACCAAGGCGCUUGAGAGAACUCGGGUGAAGGAACUAGGCAAAAUGGUGCCGUAACUUCGGGAGAAGGCACGCUGAUAUGUAGGUGAAGUCCCUCGCGGAUGGAGCUGAAAUCAGUCGAAGAUACCAGCUGGCUGCAACUGUUUAUUAAAAACACAGCACUGUGCAAACACGAAAGUGGACGUAUACGGUGUGACGCCUGCCCGGUGCCGGAAGGUUAAUUGAUGGGGUCAGCGCAAGCGAAGCUCUUGAUCGAAGCCCCGGUAAACGGCGGCCGUAACUAUAACGGUCCUAAGGUAGCGAAAUUCCUUGUCGGGUAAGUUCCGACCUGCACGAAUGGCGUAAUGAUGGCCAGGCUGUCUCCACCCGAGACUCAGUGAAAUUGAACUCGCUGUGAAGAUGCAGUGUACCCGCGGCAAGACGGAAAGACCCCGUGAACCUUUACUAUAGCUUGACACUGAACAUUGAGCCUUGAUGUGUAGGAUAGGUGGGAGGCUUUGAAGUGUGGACGCCAGUCUGCAUGGAGCCGACCUUGAAAUACCACCCUUUAAUGUUUGAUGUUCUAACGUUGACCCGUAAUCCGGGUUGCGGACAGUGUCUGGUGGGUAGUUUGACUGGGGCGGUCUCCUCCUAAAGAGUAACGGAGGAGCACGAAGGUUGGCUAAUCCUGGUCGGACAUCAGGAGGUUAGUGCAAUGGCAUAAGCCAGCUUGACUGCGAGCGUGACGGCGCGAGCAGGUGCGAAAGCAGGUCAUAGUGAUCCGGUGGUUCUGAAUGGAAGGGCCAUCGCUCAACGGAUAAAAGGUACUCCGGGGAUAACAGGCUGAUACCGCCCAAGAGUUCAUAUCGACGGCGGUGUUUGGCACCUCGAUGUCGGCUCAUCACAUCCUGGGGCUGAAGUAGGUCCCAAGGGUAUGGCUGUUCGCCAUUUAAAGUGGUACGCGAGCUGGGUUUAGAACGUCGUGAGACAGUUCGGUCCCUAUCUGCCGUGGGCGCUGGAGAACUGAGGGGGGCUGCUCCUAGUACGAGAGGACCGGAGUGGACGCAUCACUGGUGUUCGGGUUGUCAUGCCAAUGGCACUGCCCGGUAGCUAAAUGCGGAAGAGAUAAGUGCUGAAAGCAUCUAAGCACGAAACUUGCCCCGAGAUGAGUUCUCCCUGACUCCUUGAGAGUCCUGAAGGAACGUUGAAG